CCCGAUGGAGGGGGAUAACUACUGGAAACGGUAGCUAAUACCGCAUAACGUCUUCGGACCAAAGUGGGGGACCUUCUGGCCUCACACCAUCGGAUGUGCCCAGAUGGGAUUAGCUAGUAGGUGGGGUAAUGGCUCACCUAGGCGACGAUCCCUAGCUGGUCUGAGAGGAUGACCAGCCACACUGGAACUGAGACACGGUCCAGACUACUACGGGAGGCAGCAGUGGGGAAUAUUGCACAAUGGGCGCAAGCCUGAUGCAGCCAUGCCGCGUGUAUGAAGAAGGCCUUCGGGUUGUAAAGUACUUUCAGCGGGGAGGAAGGCGAUGAGGUUAAUAACCUUGUCGAUUGACGCUACCCGCAGAAGAAGCACCGGCUAACUCCGUGCCAGCAGCCGCGGUAAU
rnacentral:rRNA from 1 species